AUGGUUCUGGAGGACGAGAGCAGGGACGACAACUCAAGCCUCCCGUACAUGCACUCCGAAACCUCCACCGAUGGGCUGAACCAGGAAGGUCAGAAUUGUGGGUUUGUUCAGUGGGUUGAUGAGCAGUGGCCCCCAACAAUGGAGAAUGCAUUGCUGAAGCUUUGGUCAAUGGUUGAAGAGAGCAAGUCUGCUAGGGUGAAUGAUAAUCUUCAAAGUGCUCUAACUAUUCAUCAGUUGACAGAAGAAAAGAACAAGCUGGAUGCAGACUAUGACAAGUUAGUGAAAGAUGUGCAUCAACUUGUGGACUUUCAGCAGGAUAGGGUUGUGGAUUUCAGUUAUCUAUAG
rnacentral:rRNA from 1 species